rfam:Ciona savignyi cont_40194, whole genome shotgun sequence.
AUUCGGUGUUUAUUCAUUUGUUUCAACGUAUGAUUCUUUCGCCUUUUACUAAAGAAUUCCGUGGAGAGGAGCAGUUCAAUGAGUCUUGAUCAUUUUUCGAUAUCCGACUUUGGUCGGUUU